rnacentral:rRNA from 1 species
CGAACGCUGGCGGCGUGCCUAAUACAUGCAAGUAGAACGCUGAAGAGAGGAGCUUGCUCUUCUUGGAUGAGUUGCGAACGGGUGAGUAACGCGUAGGUAACCUGCCUGGUAGCGGGGGAUAACUAUUGGAAACGAUAGCUAAUACCGCAUAAAAUGGAUUAUCGCAUGAUAAUCCAUUGAAAGGUGCAAAUGCAUCACUACCAGAUGGACCUGCGUUGUAUUAGCUAGUUGGUGGGGUAACGGCUCACCAAGGCGACGAUACAUAGCCGACCUGAGAGGGUGAUCGGCCACACUGGGACUGAGACACGGCCCAGACUCCUACGGGAGGCAGCAGUAGGGAAUCUUCGGCAAUAGACGGAAGUCUGACCGAGCAACGCCGCGUGAGUGAAGAAGGUUUUCGGAUCGUAAAGCUCUGUUGUAAGAGAAGAACGAGUGUGAGAGUGGAAAGUUCACACUGUGACGGUAUCUUACCAGAAAGGGACGGCUAACUACGUG